UACGUAGGGUGCGAGCGUUAAUCGGAAUUACUGGGCGUAAAGGGCGUGUAGGCGGUCAAGUAAGUGGAAUGUGAAAUGCCUCGGCUUACCCGGGGACCUGCAUCCCAAACUGCUUGGCUUGAGUAUGGGAGAGGAUGAGGGAAUUCCUGGUGUAGCGGUGAAAUGCGUAGAUAUCAGGAGGAACACCGGUGGCGAAAGCGCUCAUCUGGCCCAAUACUGACGCUGAGGCGCGAAAGCUAGGGGAGCAAACGGG
rnacentral:rRNA from 1 species